AUCCGGGACGAUAAUGACGGUACCGGAGGAAUAAGCCCCGGCUAACUUCGUGCCAGCAGCCGCGGUAAUACGAAGGGGGAGGAGCGUUGCUCGGAAUCACUGGGCGUAAAGGGCGCGUAGGCGGCGUUUUAAGUCGGGGGUGAAAGCCUGUGGCUCAACCACAGAAUGGCCUUCGAUACUGGGACGCUUGAGUAUGGUAGAGGUUGGUGGAACUGCGAGUGUAGAGGUGAAAUUCGUAGAUAUUCGCAAGA
rnacentral:rRNA from 1 species